rnacentral:snoRNA from 1 species
CAGCCUGAGACAGCGAGACUCCCUCUAAAAAAAAAAAAAAAAAGGCAAUAAUAAAGCCACAUUAUGAGCCUUAAGGACAUUGAAGAUGUUAAGGUCCCUGAAAACGGCUAAAACA